GGUCAUACCCAGUUGGAACACCAGUUUUUGUACAAUCACUGAAGUUAAACAACAUUGAGCCUGGUUAGUAGCUAGAUGGAUGACCACUUGAAAAUACCAGGUGCUGUCAG